GCAUUCGUGGUGUAGUGGUCAGUACGCUGGGUGCCUAUCCCAAAGAUCCGUGGUUCGAGUCCCGGCGAAGGUA
rnacentral:tRNA from 1 species